rnacentral:misc_RNA from 1 species
UUCUAUGGUUAGUUUAGCAGGUAUGCAUACAGCUGUGUGAUA